UGAGCAGGACCACUAACGGUUACUCUUUGACAACUGCCAGUUGCUCGCUUGGGGAAGGAGACCACUGUGUCACCGACCAAUGGCUGAACAGGAACCUCUAACCACAGCUCUAACCACCUCACAUCAGUGGUCUCCCGUUAGUGGUUUCACGGUAACCCGUUGCCUGUAAGAUCACAAGCCCUAUGCAGAGCUGUCUCCCAUUUCCACACAGCAAGUUCUCACCUUCAAGAGAUGCUACUAAAACGCUCAAAUGGAGAAGAAACCAGAAGGCCUAGAAA